GGGCCAUAGCUCAGUGGUAGAGGUCAUCUGCCUUACAAGCAGAAGGUCCCAGGUUCGAUCCCUGGCAUCUCCA